CAGGUUCACCUACAACAGUCUGGUUCUGAACUGAGGAGUCCUGGGUCUUCAGUAAAGCUGUCAUGCAAGGAUUUUGAUUCAGAAGUCUUCCCUAUUGCUUAUAUGAGUUGGGUAAGGCAGAAGCCUGGGCAUGGAUUUGAAUGGAUUGGAGGCAUACUCCCAAGUAUUGGUAGAACAAUCUAUGGAGAGAAGUUUGAGGACAAAGCCACAUUGGAUGCAGACACACUGUCCAACACAGCCUACUUGGAGCUCAACAGUCUGACAUCCGAGGACUCUGCUAUCUACUACUGUGCAAGG